GACGAACGCUGGCGGCGCGCCUAACACAUGCAAGUCGAACGGAGUUGUGUUGAAAGCUUGCUGGAUAUACAACUUAGUGGCGGACGGGUGAGUAACACGUGAGUAACCUGCCUCUCAGAGUGGAAUAACGUUUGGAAACGAACGCUAAUACCGCAUAACGUGAGAAGAGGGCAUCCUCUUUUUACCAAAGAUUUAUCGCUGAGAGAUGGGCUCGCGGCCGAUUAGGUAGUUGGUGAGAUAACAGCCCACCAAGGCGACGAUCAGUAGCCGACCUGAGAGGGUGAUCGGCCACAUUGGGACUGAGACACGGCCCAA
rnacentral:rRNA from 1 species